rnacentral:rRNA from 1 species
AUUGAACGCUGGCGGCAGGCCUAACACAUGCAAGUCGAACGGUAACAGGAAGCAGCUUGCUGCUUCGCUGACGAGUGGCGGACGGGUGAGUAAUGUCUGGGAAGCUGCCUGAUGGAGGGGGAUAACUACUGGAAACGGUAGCUAAUACCGCAUAAUGUCGCAAGACCAAAGAGGGGGACCUUCGGGCCUCUUGCCAUCGGAUGUGCCCAGAUGGGAUUAGCUUGUUGGUGGGGUAACGGCUCACCAAGGCGACGAUCCCUAGCUGGUCUGAGAGGAUGACCAGCCACACUGGGACUGAGACACGGUCCAGACUCCUACGGGAGGCAGCAGUGGGGAAUAUUGCACAAUGGGCGCAAGCCUGAUGCAGCCAUGCCGCGUGUAUGAAGAAGGCCUUCGGGCUGUAAAGUACUUUCAGCGGGGAGGAAGGGAGUAAAGUUAAUACCUUUGCUCAUUGACGUUACCCGCAGAAGAAGCACCGGCUAACUCCGUG